ensembl:lncRNA
UGUUUUGGAGAACGGAUGUCUUUUGCCGAAAGCAACAUUACUAAGUACUUGGAAUCCUCUGCCUUUUUUAAAAGCGAGCACUCCGAAGUAAACAUGCCAGCUGAACUAUGCUUUGGCCAUUCUGAGGUCUCUGGACAAGGAGAUCCUAAAAAGGAAAACCAGUCUUUGGAACAUGCUGCAGAAUUGUGCACAGAACAAGAAGCACUUUAUGAAUCCACAGCACACCAAAACGCCAUCGAGGUGAAAGAGGCUGAUGGGCUUUGCUUUGAAAAUGGUCAAAUCAAUGGUGAAUUUUCAUAUCGGUCUUGUUCAUCUGGAUACAGCUCUUUGUUGGACAGCUGCUCUGAGCACAGUGAGUGUUUUGAAAUAAGCAGUUCUUCAGUUGACUUGGUUGAAAUAAGCCAAAAUGCACUUAGCAUUGCAUUUGAGCUAAGUGAUCAAAGUGAGAUUUCUGAACAUGAUGCCGAACAGUUAACUUUAUCUGAGAUGAGCCUAGAUGAUUGUGAGUCUUUUCAACAAGAUGAUGCAGAACAACAACAUGAUGCAGAACAGAUCAUUUUAACUGAGAUGAGACUAGGUAGUUGUGACUCUUUUGAACAACAUGAUGCAGUACAGUUAAACUCAUUUGAGAUGAGAUCAGACUUUUGUGUGUUUAAUCUGCAAGAUGAUGUAGAACCGGUAAAGUUUAGCCCAGACUGUUUUCACCAUGAUAAUACGGAAGAAAUCAUUUCGUCCGAGUUGAGCCUAGAUGAUUGUGAACCUUUACCACAAGAUGAUGCAGAACUAGUAACGGAGGGAGAUCUUUGUGAUUCCUUUCCACAAGUUGAUGUUGAGUCCUUACAAUUAGAUCCGUCAGAUCAUGAAAUGCUUUCUGAAUAUGAUGGAGAAUAUCAGGAACAGUACAGCAAGUGUGAAAACAGCAGUCCUGAUGACAGUAUAUCUGAUCAAAAUGGUGUAGUUGAACUAGAUUCUGAAGACUGCGAGACAUCUAAACAGGCUGAACCUAACAAUCAGAACAAGCUUGAUAAAUACCAUGCCACACAUUUUGAAUCCC